GAUGAACGCUGGCGGCGUGCUUAACACAAGCAAGUCGAACGGUGAAGCAGGAGCUUGCUCCUGUGGAUCAGUGGCGAACGGGUGAGUAACACGUGAGCAAUCUGCCCUGGACUCUGGAAUAAGCGUUGGAAACGACGUCUAAUACCGGAUACGAGGCGUGGGGGCAUCCCCAACGCCUGGAAAGAACUUCGGUCCAGGAUGAGCUCGCGGCCUAUCAGGUAGUUGGUGAGGUAACGGCUCACCAAGCCUACGACGGGUAGCCGGCCUGAGAGGGUGACCGGCCACACUGGGACUGAGACACGGCCCAGACUCCUACGGGAGGCAGCAGUGGGGAAUAUUGCACAAUGGGCGCAAGCCUGAUGCAGCAACGCCGCGUGAGGGACGACGGCCUUCGGGUUGUAAACCUCUUUUAGCAGGGAAGAAGCGAAAGUGACGGUACCUGCAGAAAAAGCACCGGCUAACUACGUGCCAGCCGCCGCGGUAAUAC
rnacentral:rRNA from 1 species